CUUCAGAUUAAAAUGAAUUCAUUAGGUAAUGCAAGGAAUUCUAGUUGGGAUAUGGAAUUUUAUGACUAUUCUCCUUUAUAAAUGUAACCAGAAUGGAUUAGGUGGCCACUGGGUAGACGUAAGUGUAAUAAUGUUCUCUUUAGUGAAAGAGCUUGCGGAAGAAUCAGUCGCCUUAGUAUGAAGGGUGAGGAAGCUUUUGGACCACAGACUUACACCAACAUGAAAUGAUCCAAAAUUAAAAACAAACUAUACCUCAAGCCAAACUCAAGGCUUUCUGAAAAAUGAGAACCCUUAUAUGCAUAAUGGAGAAACCAUCUAUAAAACUAAAAAUAUCACCUUGGGGAUGCCUUACCUUUGGGAUAUGAGGCUCUCAAUCUUUUAAAAUUACCCCUUCCUUUGCAUGGAUAUUAUAUGCUGAAGAAAAUUAGAGAACUCUUUCUGGCUGAUCAGCUUCCCUCUCAGGCUAUCCUGAAAGGUGAAAUUAUUUUUUAGAAGGCUGGAUAUAAUAUCAGACACCAACUAACAAAAGAGUUUCUCAACUCCUCAUGUGUCUCCUCUAUGACUGAUCCUUCCCAUUAUAUCUUUCAGAAAUAAAUUGUGACUUAGGUUUCCAUGCGUCAUUUUUGUAAACAAUAGUCUAUUAAAUCUUUUAAUAAAAUAUGUGCGGGCUGCUACUAGAAAAAACUGGAGUAAUACAUCUUCCUUGGAGUUCUAGUGAGGGUUCUUUUAUGUUAAUAGUGUUCUUUUUAACAAAUGAAGCUUCAGGGUAAAACUCCAUUCAGUAACACCUAUGGGAAAUAAAUGAUAAGCAAUAAACCGUAAUCAGAAAUGCAAUCAGAAAACAGGGAAACAGGCUAGCUUUUAACUUAAAGCUGGUUUUUUACGUCAUAGGACAUAAGCUGAUCCAGGAAAGCUGGAGAUAUACAUCUAUAUGUAGUUAUUAAAUUAGGCAAGAGCACCUCUUUCUAUAGCAGGCCAAAGUCUUUAUAAUUUACAGUAAGGUAAGAACAACUUCAUUAUGUUUAAAAAAGUUUUUUUAAUGUUUUAUUUAGUUUUGAGAGACACAGAGUGCAAGCGAGGGGAGGGGCAGAGAGAGAGGGAGACACACACGCGCACACACACACACACACACACACACACACAUAAAAGAUUACCUUAAUAUCUCCCAAUAACAUGAACUUGAUACACUGAGGUUGGUGAUGUAUCCUGCCCUUGUUCUCAAAUGGCUGUGGGCUCAAGUUUGAUCUUUUCUGGGGCCAUUGUGUGGGAGUGAGACUGAGGUAGGGCAGAUGCAGGCAACUACUGAAGAGGCUGAAAGGGAGCAGGCAUCUCUUUAGCCCAAAUCUGCAGCAUUGGGCAACCAGAGACAUUUCUGGAAUUGCUGGCAGUGACCUGAAAGUUUUGGCCAGCCUUGGGUCCCAAAAGUAUUCUGCUGUGUAUUUAAGCCAGAGCAGACAAUUACCACUAGAUGGCAUCACAUUGCAGCGAGCCGGGUAAGUGUGAACUUUGUAACGUUGCCCCUCUUAGCCCCUGGUUGUGCAGGCUUGCCCCCAACAUCUGGUUCACCUUGCAAUUCAACAGCUCUGCGCUUACACAAUGGAUUUCUUUUGUUUGUUUGCACUCUACUUAUCCAAUUAUGGGAUUUUCUCUCCUAUAGGCAAGGGAACUUAAAACAGAUGAAAUGGAUAUGUUCCUUGAAAAAUAUAAAAUGGCAGAACUAGUGCAAAUAUAGAACACUUGAAUAGAACCAUCAAUAUUAAACAAAUAUUUCAGGAGGCUUCCCCUCCCUGGGACCCCAGGCUCAAGUUGUUUUACAGCUCUCCAGAAGACUAGAGCUCUGUAUGCUCUGGAUUGGAGACCUAGAGGGGUAAGCGGGGACCACUGAUGAACAAGGGGAGUGGUCCUCUGAAGGUGAAGCUGGGCCAUGAAAAGAGGUACCUGAAGCCUGGGAACCACCAAAUAUCAGAACUGGGAGGGACCACAGAGACCACAGUUUCCAGAUUAUUGCACCAUCACCUCUCUGACCAGGCUGAGUGAAUGCCCUCUUCACUAGGUGAGGUUGUAACUACCUGUUAGCCACUCUCUCCUAGGACAGCUGGGACAGAAGGUCCUUUCUGGGACUGAGCUGAAAUCUUACUUCUCUGAGGACUAACCAGAGAACAUGAUCUGUCUGGUUGAGGCGCUAACCCCGGGAAGUGAACAGCAACCAGCUGGGAAAAAAACAGAGACUUCGGGUCUGUGGUGCAGAGGUUAUACAACCAGCGCUAAAUCUGUGCUGGCUUUCACACACCUGGGGCUUGAAGCAGAUGGAAACAGAUCAAGGACGUGUAGGGUCCUGACCACAGGAGCCAAUGGCAGCUGGGUUUGCUGCUUUGCAUACACCUGCUGUUGCUGGAUAGCACAGGGUAUGAAUGUGAGAGACUUCUCUAUUACAUAGCUGUCUCCCCUUAUCCGCGGUUUUACUUUCUGUGGUUUCAGUUACUCUCGGUCAACAAAGUCCAGAAGAAGAUGGUCCUUCUUCUGACAGCAGUAUACAUAGCCGAAUGCUACAUCACAAAGCCUGUGUCAUUCACCUCAAUUCAUUUUACUGCACACGCAUGGUAUCAUCUCACGUGGUCCUGAGAAGAAGGCUGAGUAUAGUACAAUAAAAUAUUUGAGAGGGAGAGACCACAUCCAUAAAUUUUAUUGCAGUAUGUUGUUAUAAUUGUUCUAUUUUAUGAUUAGAUGUUGUUAAUCUCUGACUGUGCCUAAUCUAUAAAUUAAACUUUAUCAUAGGUGUGUAUGUAGAGGAAAAAACGUAGCCCAUAUAGGAUUCAGUACUGUCUGCGGUUGCUGGCAUCUACUGGGAGUCUUGGAACAUAUUCUCCACCGAUAAGAGUGAACUGUUGUCCAGAUAUCGUUUCUCUAUCAGUCCAUGGAGAGGGAUUCCCGCCAGAAAGACUGUAUCUAGGAAUUAACUUAUUCAAGAUUAUGCACACGCUCUAUGGAGACAAGUUUAAAAUGUAAGUAAAGGACAUAGAGGAUGAUCUGAGUAAAUGGAGAGACAUUUCAUGAGAUGACUUAAACAUGAACAUGGUGAUUCUUCAUAUAUUAUCUGUGAUUUCAAUUCAAUCCCAAUAAAAAAUUUCAUUUG